AAAAGCACUGUAUAAAAUGUAAGAGAGAAUUAUGUAUGCAUGUAGUCCCAUUAACCUUGGUAAUUGAGACUUGGUUGUAGAUUUAAAAUAUAAUUAGUUUUGAUAGAACAGUAGCUCACACUUUUCUAAUGGGUAGAGCCAGACAAGGCUUAGAAAAUGUGCCUUUGGUAGAUUUUAUUUUUGAGCCAUCAAUUCAAGACAAAGCUUACAAUCCCUUCAGAGGCUAAAAGGGUGGCAGUAGUGGUGAUUUCUCAUCAACAAGUCAGAAUAGGCAAAUGGUCUUAAAUGAUUGAAUUUUCUUGUUUCAAAUUUCAGGACAAUGAGAAUACAGUUUCCUCCGAAAAAAUCUUAGGCUGAUCUUGGAAGAAAGACCCCCUGGAUCAUCUAAAAAUAAACUUUUCUAUUUAAAGAUGAAAAAACAGAAGCAAAACCAUUAAGCGCCUUCCCCAAGGUCUUAAAAGAAGUCACCAAGAAGGUGGUGUGGCUCAAGUCUCCUGACUCCAGUUUACUAUUCCCCACAAUAAUGUUGGAAAACCACAUUGGAAUGGGAAGACUCAUUCCAAGUACUGCUGUCACACCAGCAAGCUUCAAAGAAGCCUGAGGUGAGAUGUCUGGCCAUGUUGCUGGUGCCGUCGCCCUCAAGAAGCCAAACAGGCUCUCAGAGUUUCUCAGGCCCUGCCCUCGGACGUGGCCCCACCCCAGAGCAUGCUGGGCAGGACCUCCCCAUAGAUCCCUCCCAUUGCCAAUGUAUUCCUCCAGAGGAUUCUGAGCUCUGCUUGGUGUUUCCAGCUGUGAUGAGGUAAAUGUAGUCUUGGUCCUCUGGAAAAGUAGAUAAUUAAGGCAGAUAGUCCACACAUGUGAAAGUGUUGUGACUUGGAAAGGGCGGGCAGAUCCCAGGUUGGGAAGAUUAAGGAAAGCAUUGAGGGAAACCUUUCAGUAUGGUGGGAGGGAAGGAGGAAAGAAGAGAUGGAGGACCUCAUUUUGGUUUUGGUUUUGUUUUGUUUUGAAGUUUUUAUGAAGAAAAGUUCCCAUCUGAUGACUUCUCUGUUUCCCUCUGGUGGUCCAGCACAUAUGAUCAAUGAGCGAGGAGUGUGGACAAGGUGUAGGAAAGUGGAAUUGUUUUGAGAACUUAGGCAAGUGAGUUGACUGAGAAAACAAUCGCAGAAGCUCCCCCGAGACAGGGCCUCUGUUUGUUGCCUCCACUGGGUGUCCCAAGUGCUUGGAAGAGCGUCUGGCACAUGGUAACACAGGAGGAAUGACUGGAUUCUGAGGCAGUGGUGGAGCUGAGCAACAGAUGUAGAACAGAAGUUUAUGGGGCACAAACACACUUGUGUGAUUUUAUCCAAGAGGAAGCAGGCCCUUAUUUGAAGGCAGUUUUAAAACAGGCAGAGUUGGAUUUUGCUAGACAGGACGAAUGAAAGAAGGGGGUAGGCUGUUUAGAGCAGAGCAGUAUAUUUAGGUUUAGGAUUAAGUGAUGCCCCACGAAGUUUUCCUUGGAGAGAGAGGAAAUGAAGACAAAGGUUGUCAGGUGAGUAGGGGAAAGUAUAGAGUGGCUUGUAGUUCCUGAAUAGUUUAAGGAAUUAGCAUGCUGAGGGCAUAAGCUGAGAGGAUAAAGGGUGGAAUGUCAGACUGUAUUUUUUCAGAACACACAAGUGUUGCUGGUGUUAAGUUCUAGGAUAUGGCCAUAACUGAACUGGAAUGAAGGUAAAGGACUCUAAGAUGAGAAGGAGCAGACAGUGAGAGAUCAGAUCAUUGGAUGGUCUAUCCGCAUGGAUGUUGGGGCCUCUGAUUGAUUCCUUCCACUUUGAGUUCCUUUCCUGUCCUCCACAGAAUUGGCAUUUCCUCUAACUCUAACCUUCAGUCCAUGGCAUGACUCUGGACAAGAAGGCAGAAAUGGGGUGGUGAGAGAGAGGGCUGAAGUAGACAUCCGUUUUGUUUUUGUUUUUAUUUUGACACUCAGCAUUCACUCACCUUCUAAAAAUAGUCCUUCUUUUGCCCUCUGGGGAUCUAACCCCGUUGUCAGUUUCAGUCCAUGUCAAGUGGAGUUGUUUAUCACUAACGCUCUUACUUUAAAGGAGGGCAUUGAAGUCAGGCUUGACCAAAAAGAUUGGUCCAUGCUUUUGGCAACAGUGAUUGGUCAGGGAUGGGCAUGUGACCCAACUGGAGACAAUAAGGCACAGUGGGACUUUUGAAGGGACUAGUGGGAGAAACAACCCAUUUUUAGCUU